GAGUGUUACGUUUAUGGAUAUUUGUAGCUUGAUGUGGGUUCAAUUAAUUAUUAGAACAAUCAAACAGUCAAAUCAUAUAAGAUGCUCCGCAAACGAAAAUUAGAAAACCCCUGCAAGAUCCCGAUAGCCACCACCAGCCAGCAAGCCAUCAUCGUUGCUGCACUCAAGCCACCGCGAAGCACACACACUACAGACGAACAUCAAUGAUUGAAAAUCAUGCCAGCUAAUGAUGAUCGGCAGUACAGAGCGAGACGAAGCGAAGAGAAGGCUUGCACACGGCGAAACGAGUGGUCUGACCCUAGCUCGUUCGGGUUCUACUGGUAUGCGUAAUACAGAAAGCACGACGACGCCAACCAACGAUCACACACGCAGGCAGACAACAAGAGAAGAGAAGACGUCGGCACGCAAGCCACAUUUCACCAUCGCAGGCUCAGGCCUCAGUCCUCGCAGAUCGUUCGCACACGUCGGUAAUCGAAACACCGGUGGUCGGUAGGCCCGUCGUUUGUCCACGGAGAGGAAACCGUUAGUUCCAACUGGGAAAGUCGCUGGGGCGGAAAACACCCCAACAUCGAUCAUCGUCGUUCUGAAGGGGCAUCUUGCGCGAAGUUGUCGCAAAAUUCCCAAGAUACCAACAAAAGUCACCUGAUGAAUGGAACACCGAUUGAAUAGCGACAAAACCACGUUUGGCUUGAUUCUUCCAAGCGAGCGAAGAGGAUUAAUCGACGGCGCUAGACCCGGUCGUUUCGUUCGACCACUUUCUACCACGUGGCGGCCCGACGACGAUUAGUACCUGGGGAGCUUGGACGCACGACGACGAACGGUCUGGGAAGGCGAUCACGCAUUCGAGUCGGAUAUUUGCUCUUUUGUAUGGCACGCUCAAUCGUACCCACGGAGGCAUCCGGACCAUAACCUCAACAAUAGCGAGUGCAGGUGCAUUGUCGCGGAAAACAGAGGCACAAACCACAAAACCCCUACAUAGGGGUUUUGUUUACUUACAGCUCUCAUCCAGAUCACGCGGGUACACCGCAGCGAAGGAAGAAGUGGCGUUUCAUCUUGCCAGCGGCGAGAAGAGCUGCGACCAGAGCGAUCGCACCACGGCGGGGCGAGCCACCGCGGUAUCGAAGACAAACGCUAGUUUUGAUCCAGUGCGACGUCGAAGCUGCGUCGAGAGAAGGAUUUGGUUUGGCCAGGCGGCGAGACGUGCGGCUGCCCUAGAGUGAACACCGUUAUCGUGCCAACGGGUGGAGCACUGAGAGUUUCGAGGGCAGAGCACACCGGCUGAGGCAACCACCGAAGACGAGAGGGUCAGCAUCCGGCCUGCGGGGUCCACUGAUGCGGCCGCAACUGGAGGACAGCUGUCGUCGAUAGAUUCGAAUGGCAACGGGCGCUGUGCUGGUGGCAGGCACCUCGAGCUGAACGUUCGUGAGUAGAACCCGUCAAAUUAGACUUAAGUAUAUGCGUGCAUGAUAUAAUUGCAACAAAACAGGAGUUAGGGCCAAUUUAGAAGGGGUAUGACCAAUGUAAGGGACAAUAUGGGUCGAGAAUAUAUGUAUUGAAAUGA